GUAUCAUAUGCUUGUCUCAAAGAUUAAGCCAUGCAUGUCUAAGUAUAAACAAAUUUGUACUGUGAAACUGCGAAUGGCUCAUUAAAUCAGUUAUAGUUUAUUUGAUGGUACAUUGCUACAUGGAUAACCGUGGUAAUUCUAGAGCUAAUACAUGCAUUAUAAGCCCCGACUUCCGGAAGGGGUGUAUUUAUUAGAUAAAAAACCAACGCGGCUCGCCGCUCCCUUGGUGAUUCAUAAUAACUUCUCGAAUCGCAUGGCCUUGUGCCGGCGAUGCUUCAUUCAAAUAUCUGCCCUAUCAACUUUCGAUGUUAGGAUAGAGGCCUACCAUGGUUUCAACGGGUAACGGGGAAUAAGGGUUCGAUUCCGGAGAGGGAGCCUGAGAAACGGCUACCACAUCCAAGGAAGGCAGCAGGCGCGCAAAUCACCCAAUCCCGACACGGGGAGGUAGUGACAAUAAAUAACAAUAUAGGGCUCUUUCGGGUCUUAUAAUUGGAAUGAGUACAAUUUAAAUCUCUUAACGAGGAACAAUUGGAGGGCAAGUCUGGUGCCAGCAGCC
rnacentral:rRNA from 1 species